GAAGUUUUAGUAUAGUUUGUACAAAAAAUUGCAAAUUUUUAGGUUAGAGCUUUU
rnacentral:tRNA from 1 species